ensembl:lncRNA novel transcript, antisense to MAP3K2
GGAAGAGCGGAGAGCCAGCGACCGCCGAUCUGUUAGCUCGUGCGACCCAGCGGCGGGGGUCCUCCACUGUUCAUUUCUCUACAACUGAAGGAAAAUACUGUGUGUUGAGCACCUGUGUAGUGCGCGAAUUAAAGGCCUCAUCCUUCUGGAACUUAAAUUUUAAUGAAGCCAUGUGGGCAAUAAAUGUGUGUGUGAGAGAGAGAGAGAGAGAAUGUGACCUGAGUCCAUGGCUAUGACUCCUCCCUCAUCUUUCUGAAGCUCAACCUUGAAUGCUUACAGGACCACUGAAAAAAGAAUCUCUAGGCUCCCCCAAGAGCUCAUUUCCAUCAACAGCUCUGGAAGUGGGUCAUGUUACAUACAAAAAUAAAGACAGCAAGAAGAGCUCAGACGGUGGAACCAGACUGCUUGGGACUGAAAUCGGCAUUUGCCACUUACCAGCCAGGGUCUGCGGGUCGGACCCGGAAGGUAGAGCCCUGUGUGAGGAAUGCUGCAACAGAUCACAACAGAACCCUUGAAAAUGAAGGUGAAAAAACUGCGAACUUUGAGACGGCCUUCAUUAAGACCACUCUGGAGCCCACCCUGUGUGCACUUUUUCUCCGACUUCAGCAACUGCUAGAUCAAUGUAUACAUCUUAUUUUUAUUACACACAUUCGGGCCCACAGCUCACUGCCUGGCCCACUGGCUUAUGGCAAUGAUCAAGCAGACCUACAGGUUAUGACAUCACUGCCUGACCAAGCCACCCAAUUGCAACAAUUUUUCCACCAAAACUUGAGAAACUUAUCUAAACAAUUUCAACUUACCCAGAGACUAGCUAAACAAAUUACCCUACAAUGCCCAGAUUGCCAGUUCACAGGCACAUCCCCUCCUUCAACAGGUGUUAACCCUAGAGGACUAGAACCUAAUCAGUUUUGGCAAACAGAUGUUACACGCAUCCCUGAAUUUGGAAAACGUAGAUAUGUACAUGUAUCCAUUGAUACCAAUUCUCAUUUAAUUAGUACUCAUGCUCUUCCUGGAGAGUCCACCCGAUAUGUCAUUAAACAUCUUCUUUUAACUUUUGCAUUUAUGGGACGGCCCACAGAAAUUAAAACUGAUAAUGGUCUGGCUUAUGCCAGCUCACAAUUUCAACAAUUUUGUCACACAUGGAACAUCCAACAUUCCACAGGCAUCCCGUAUAACUCCCAAGGACAGGCCAUAGAACGUACCCAAUCCAGCCUUAAAAAUAUGCUCAGAAAACAAAAAAGGGGGAAUAUGAAUAAGGACCCUGCAACACUACUAGCACAAGCCUUAUUUACCCUUAAUUUUUAAAAUUUAAAUAAAUUUCAAUCAGCUGUAGAAAAGCACUUUGCUAAAACCUCUCAAGAAAUAAAACCUGCAGUUUUAUGGAAA